rnacentral:rRNA from 1 species
AGAGAUCAUGGCUCAGGAUGAACGCUAGCGGCAGGCCUAAUACAUGCAAGUCGAACGGUCAGUAGCAAUACUGAUAGUGGCGCACGGGUGCGUAACGCGUAACCAACCUACCCGAAUCUGGGGGAUAGCCCGCCGAAAGGCGGAUUAAUACCGCAUAAGACUAUAGAGUGGCAUCACUUCGUAGUUAAAGAUUUAUUGGAUUCGGAUGGGGUUGCGUGCCAUUAGCUAGUUGGGGGGGUAACGGCCCACCAAGGCGACGAUGGCUAGGGGAGCUGAGAGGCUGGUCCCCCACACGGGCACUGAGAUACGGGCCCGACUCCUACGGGAGGCAGCAGUAGGGAAUAUUGGGCAAUGGGCGAGAGCCUGACCCAGCCAUGCCGCGUGCAGGAUGAAGGCUUUCUGAGUCGUAAACUGCUUUUGCCAGGGAAGAAAAAAGGGGAUGCGUCCCCUACUGACGGUACCUGGUGAAUAAGCACCGGCUAACUCCGUGCCAGCAGCCGCGGUAAUACGGAGGGUGCAAGCGUUGUCCGGAUUUAUUGGGUUUAAAGGGUGCGUAGGCGGUCGUUUAAGUCUGGGGUGAAAGCCCGUUGCUCAACAACGGAACUGCCCUGGAAACUGGACGACUUGAGUACAGACGAGGGUGGCGGAAUGGAUGGUGUAGCGGUGAAAUGCAUAGAUACCAUCCAGAACCCCGAUUGCGAAGGCAGCUGCCUAGACUGUUACUGACGCUGAGGCACGAAAGCGUGGGGAGCGGACAGGAUUAGAUACCCUGGUAGUCCACGCCGUAAACGAUGGAUACUCGCUGCCGGCGAUACAAUGUCGGUGGCUUAGCGAAAGCGUUAAGUAUCCCACCUGGGGAGUACGCCCGCAAGGGUGAAACUCAAAGAAUUGACGGGGGCC